ACACACUCUAGCUAUGGCUCGCAUUAUUCGACGGUGUUCAGGGAUAGUUGGUAGUAUCCUACGAGAUGCUAGUUAAGAUAUUUUCCCUUGCUAUAGCCUUUCACGAAAACUCUUAGACUAGUCUUUUGAGAUUCUGAAUUAGUCGCACUUUGCUUAUCCCCCUUAACCUUUCAACAUACUCACGAGUAUAUGGGUCAAUGAGUUGUAAGCUCUUAAAGAAUUAAUUAUCUACCCCUUCCAAUAAUAUAGUUUCAGUCUAUUAUACCUGAGAUGACUUCUAUCUUUAUCAUCUCGCCAUAUGUUGUUUAUCUUGCUGUCUCAUUGGCAACGCAUAAUGCAAGACAUAUAUUUUUCAUCAUUUACUAUCUCCUCGAGGCUUUUCAUUUAUUAAUGAGUUUUCUAUAAUUUUCGUGUCCAAUUAUCCUCGUCUCAUGUCUACAUUUAUGGCUCGAAAUGUGAUCAUAACAAAUAUGAUUGUAGAAUAAGUGCUACUAAAUUUUUGAUUGGGGCCAUAAGUGCUAACUCAAAAAAAAUAGGAGUUUUGCCGCAAAUAUACUAUCUACUUGGACAACUUUUUGAUAGAAGAGGGUUUGGAUGCACAAAUAAUUGGCGGAAGGGAGUUUUGUCACCAAAUGUUUUUAGGGAAUUAUAGCAAAUGACCCCAAAUCAUAACACUUGUAAGUAAAUGUUCUCAUUUUAAAACUUGUACAGAAAUGACCCUUUUAUAUUAUUUAUUAUUUAUAUUAUUUUUUGCCAUAUAAAAAAAAUUAAUAUUUUAUUUUUUAUUUUUUUAGAUUUAGAAAUAAAUUACUUAAAGAUCAUGUUAUAUUUGUAUAAGUUUUGUUAAAAUAUUUUUUUAUUUUAAAAUUAUGUCAAUAUACCAUACAACAAAAUAAAAAUAUAUUGUACGACAAAAUAUAUAUAUACCAACAACUCACAACAACCCGUUAGCUUCUAUUUUAUUAUAUAUAAUGGUGGUAUAUAAUCUUAUUGUCAUGAUAUCUAUUCUAUAUAAAGUGUGCCUAUAUAACUGAAUUGUUUAUGAGAAAUUUAUGGGUGACUUUAAUUUUUUUUUUUUAAUUUUUUAUUCAAAAAUAAUAUUUUUUUUUUGGCUGAGGAUAAAUAUAAAUUGUCAUUAAUACGAUUGACAUUGAAAGCUUAAAAUUCUAAAAAUACGAUUGACACUCUUCUCCCUCUUUCACUAUCAAACGACAUCAAAUUUGUAAUCUACGCAGUAACUCCUUUGAUUUCAAGUAAUAUGCUUUCUUAUUUUUUGUUGAUAAAAAUCCCUCUUUAUCUCCAAAUAGUGCGAUCGGAGAUGAAUCCUCCUCUGAGAAAAGUCUUCCUUCCAUCUUUAUGAAAUAUUCUUCAUCUUCGCUUCGUUAUUGUGAGAUAGUAUCACUCUUUUCUUUUCUUUUAACAAAUUACUUGAGUAGACAUUGAUAUCUGGAAGUUUCUUUCAGCCCUCAAUAACAAUAUUCUCUUCUCUCUCAUUUUAACAAUAUUCUUUCAGCUUUCUCAUUUUAAUUUCUCUCUCUCAAUAACAAUAUUCUCUUCUCUCAGCCCUCUCUUACGUUUCCCUCUCUAUUCAAUCCCUUGGAUUAUGAAACCCAUUUGUGGUCUCAUGAUUGAUGUUUUUCCUAUCAAAGGCUACCGACAUCGAUCCUAUUCCAUUCUCCGUCGCCAUGGUCGCAAUUGGAGGGAAAUUGACGGCAGGCGUAGCCUUGAGCAGUCUUAUUGGAUUAUCAGCGGCAGUGCCCAUAGCCGACAUGACAAUCGAUGCUUGUUUUAGCGAGGAAUAGCAUUGAGAUUCACCAUCUUGGUCCUCACCGACUGAGUUUAGUAAUCAGUACAAGGCAACAAUUAGGGUUGAUUAUUUGACGAAAGAGGUUCAGUUUGAAGACAGGCUAUUCACACUGCAGGCUAUAGGAGCACUGCUUCUUUGGUGAAGAAGUAUGGGGCUAACAUAACUAUUGUGGGAACAUCGCCGCUUUGUCGACACUACCAUAUUCAAUUUAUCAACGAAAAAAUGGACAAUCCAGUUAUAUGCAGACUCGGUUAAAAUGAAAAGUGUAGAAUACAAAAUUACACUAUUGUCUCUAUCGAAGCAAAUGAAAAUUAAAAUCCACCAAUGACUAUCAUUAGUUUUCUUAUCUACAAUUUUUUGACAAAUGCUACCUUCAAUUAUUAACAAUUUAGAUAUUAAUUUUUAAUAUUUUUUUUUAUCUUACACCCAUUCAAGUAAUGUUUCUUUAAGCAUUGGAACAUCAAUUUUUAGUUUAUUUUUAGAUUAACUUAACAAUAUAUUUAAAUCAUUAAGCUUUCUUAAACACUAAUAUAUUGCAUUCGGUAUUCACUUUUAAUUGAUAACAUUAUAAAUUAUAAUAUUUAGAUACACAUAAUAAUAAUCUCACCUAAUAACUAAUAAUAUUUUUUUUUUUAAUUUUUAAUUGUAUCACUUUCAAAUAAUAUAGAAAAAAAAAAUUAGCAUAAAAUUUAAUAUACGUGUCUCGCACCUAGUAUAUAUAUAUAUUUUAAGGGUGACUAUUCAAUGGUUACAUUUUUAUUGUAACCAUAUGGCUACAUUUUUUUUACCUAUAAAAGCAGGUUACUAAUAGGUAGACAUUCUUUUUUUAGAAUUAAUUAAUUAUAAUUACCUAUUUUUUAAAAAUAAUUAAUUAAAUAUUUAACAAGAUGUCUUUUAGCAAUUAAUAUUUAUAUUUAAAUCCUUACUCUAAUUAUUUUAAUAAUUAAGUCAUUUAAUUAUAAUAUUUACAAUAAAA